rnacentral:lncRNA from 10 species
AAGCACUUUUCCAUAUUUGCUUCAAAUGGCCUUUAGCCCCAAAAAAUUAUGUCAAAGAGGAAUGUUUUGAGGUGACACAUUCUGUUUCCUUCAGUACUCUCGUUGGUGAGUCUCCAGAUUCACCUUCAUAUAAACUUCCCUUGAACACUAUAGACAUUUUAUAAUUCUUUAUUUCUGCAUUUGCUUUGAGAUAAGGUCUUUAGUUAUUUGUAUGAUUUUUUUCUGUGGAUAACAUGGGUAAGAUUUUUAAGCUGUUUUUUUGGCUUAAGUAAAUAAAAAGUCAAAAUAAAAGUCAACAACCCGCUGCCUUUUAUGUCAACAUUAAGAACUAGAGUUCUUACAUUGCUUUUGCAGUGCAAUGUAAUGCAUUGUAUCCUUUUCUAACAAGACUGCAGAAAAAUAUUAUCUGAUAAAAAAUAUGUAUUCAAUCACCUUUCUUUUCUUUAUCAGGUAUGGUAUAGAGCAGUUUAAAAAAUUAAAAUUUAUGUAAUUAUUGUAUAAAUAUUGUACAAAUUAUUGUAUAAAUUUUCAGAUACACCAAAGUGGAGACUAUUGUUAAAAUAUCUGUGUCUCCCACUGACUGCAGUAAUAGAGAAUUUCUUCUUGGGUUUUAGAUUUCCUCCUUCUUCACCCCUGAAACCAUAUCCAAAGAAGCCCCCAAACCAAAAGGAUGUUAUUAAAUUUCCAGAAUGGAAUGAUCUCCCACCAGGCACUUCACAAGAGAACAUCCCAGUGAGGCCAGUUGUGAUGAAUUCUGAGAUGUGGUACAAGCGUCACAGUAUUGCAAUUGGAGAGGUGCCAGCUUGCCGUCUUGUCCACCGCAGACAGCUGACAGAGGCCAAUGUAGAAGAGAU